AGAAGCUGUCACAAGCCACGAGAAGACAGCUGCGGAAGGCAUUGAUGUGGAAUCACCAGCUGAGCCAGCAUUUAUUGCCCAUCCCUAGUUACCUUUGAGAAGGUGGUGAUGAGCUGCCUUCUUGACCCACUUCAAUCCCUGAGGGGACUUUGAUGGAAGUGUCAUUUGAUCUGAGAGAAUAGCAGAAAGUCAACAGC